UUAAGUUCAGCGGGUAUUCCUACCUGAUCCGAGGUCAACCUUGUUAAGUGGUGUGUUUUACGGCAAGCACCCGCGCCACGCCCAGAGCGAGAUAUUGCUACUGCGCUCGGUGUGACAGCGAGCCCGCCACUGGUUUUAGGGGUCUGCGGCAGCCGCAGGGCCCCAACGCAAGCCCGGGGGCUUGAUGGUUGAAAUGACGC
rnacentral:misc_RNA from 1 species